AAGAACCAUUAAUACCUCGAGAGUCUUCUCCUUGUUUUGUGAACUCGUGUCCAGGUGACUCUUGAGUUUGGCAGAGAAUGGACCAGGUCCUUUUGAAUUAAUUUACUCGGAGGUGAGAAGCUUGCAUACACCAAUCUUUCAUGCCAAAGUUCUGAAUUCACCCCUCUCACACCGCCAGCUUAUGGAGAUUCAUAGUCAACAUAGUGGAUGUUCUUGUUUCCUUUGUCCACUAAGACCAUUGGCCAGUUAUCAGAUUGGUAACUUUACUUCAGGCCAUUCACAUAGUACACGUUCCCAGCUGAGUGCCAAAGGAACUUUUCAAAUUUACAUUCACCGAGAAUGUACCAUUUCCUUCCUUUUUAAGGAUACAUUCCCUUCCUGCAGGACUUUCAGUAAGAAGAAAUUCAUGAUGUUUUCAGUCACGUGCUUUAAGCAUCCACGGCCCAUAGUCCAUUGUAGUUCGCUUCCUCUCAUGCUCCUUGCACAUGGAAAUCAAGGGUUAGAUUUAGGAACCCAAACUAGUUUGGGUCCCUUGUUAUGAUAGAAAGGAUGAAUAAGGAAUUUUCUAGUCCAUGUAGGCAACAUCCUUUUCUUGCGAGCGGUACCUGGUCCCUUGUUAGUGUCACUUUAUCAGUAAACAGUUUGUUUUUCUGAAUAGACUGAACCCUG
rnacentral:lncRNA from 1 species